rnacentral:rRNA from 1 species
GAUGAACGCUGGCGGCGUGCCUAAUACAUGCAGGCCGAGCGAACGGACGAGAAGCUUGCUUCUCUGAUGUUAGCGGCGGACGGGUGAGUAACACGUGGAUAACCUACCUAUAAGACUGGGAUAACUUCGGGAAACCGGAGCUAAUACCGGAUAAUAUUUUGAACCGCAUGGUUCAAAAGUGAAAGACGGUCUUGCUGUCACUUAUAGAUGGAUCCGCGCUGCAUUAGCUAGUUGGUAAGGUAACGGCUUACCAAGGCAACGAUGCAUAGCCGACCUGAGAGGGUGAUCGGCCACACUGGAACUGAGACACGGUCCAGACUCCUACGGGAGGCAGCAGUAGGGAAUCUUCCGCAAUGGGCGAAAGCCUGACGGAGCAACGCCGCGUGAGUGAUGAAGGUCUUCGGAUCGUAAAACUCUGUUAUUAGGGAAGAACAUAUGUGUAAGUAACUGUGCACAUCUUGACGGUACCUAAUCAGAAAGCCACGGCUAACUACGUG